rnacentral:rRNA from 1 species
GAUGAACGCUGGCGGCGUGCCUAAUACAUGCAAGUCGAGCGAUGCGGGGACGGGAGAGUAACACGUGGAUAACCUCCUAUAAGACUGGGAUAACUUCGGGAAACCGGAGCUAACCCGGAGACUUAUCGAUGGAUCCGUGCUGCAUUAGCUAGUUGGUAAGGUAACGGCUUACCAAGGCAACGAUGCAUAGCCGACCUGAGAGGGUGAUCGGCCACACUGGAACUGAGACACGGUCCAGACUCCUACGGGAGGCAGCAGUAGGGAAUCUGCCGCAAUGGGCGAAAGCCUGACGGAGCAACGCCGCGUGAGUGAUGAAGGUCUUCGGAUCGUAAAACUCUGUUAUUAGGGAAGCGGUACCUAAUCAGAAAGCCACGGCUAACUACGUGCCAGCAGCCGCGGUAAUUC